AUUGAACGCUGGCGGCAUGCCUUACACAUGCAAGUCGAACGGUAACAGGUCUUCGGAUGCUGACGAGUGGCGAACGGGUGCGUAAUACAUCGGAACGUGCCCGAUCGUGGGGGAUAACGGAGCGAAAGCUUUGCUAAUACCGCAUACGAUCUACGGAUGAAAGCAGGGGACCGCAAGGCCUUGCGCGGACGGAGCGGCCGAUGGCAGAGUAGGUAGUUGGUGGGAUAAAAGCUUACCAAGCCGACGAUCUGUAGCUGGUCUGAGAGGACGACCAGCCACAGGGGAACAGAGACAGGGGCCAGACUACUAAGGGAGGCAGCAGUGGGGCAUAGUGGACAAUGGGCGCAAGACUGAUCGAGCGAUACAGCGUGAGAGAAGAAGGAAUUCGGGUUGUAAAGACAUUUUGAAGGGAAAGAAAAGAAGCAGGUUAAUAACCAGCGGAUAUGACGGUACCAAAAGAAUAAGCACCGGCUAACUUCGUG
rnacentral:rRNA from 1 species